UAAGAUUACCAUUUUUCACUUGAAAAAAAAACGGUUUAUCUCCAAAAUGUAACAUUACCGUUUUAUAAAAAAAAAAGUAAAAAAACAUUAUAUAUAAUUUCGAAAAUAAUAAAUAUAUGUAAACAUACAACAUAAAAAUGGAAAUACUACAUUAAACAUAUGUAAGAUUACUAUUUUACAUUUUUAUUUUAAAAAAUAAUAUGUAAACAUACAACAUAAAAAAUGGAAAAACAACAUUAAACAUAUGUAAGAUUACCAUUUUUCACUAAAAAAAGACGGCUUAUCUCCAUAAUGUAACAUUACUAUUUUGUAAAAAAAAUAUUAUAUAUAAUUUCGAAAAUAAUAAAUAAUAUGUAAACAUACAACAUAAAAAAUAGAAAUACUACAUUAAACAUAUGUAAGAUUACCAUUUUACAUUUAAAAAUAAAAAUAAUAUGUAAACAUACAACAUAAAAAAAUGAAAAAACUACAUUAAAGAUAUGUAAGAUUACAAUUUUUCACUAAAAAAAUGUCUUAUCUCCAUAAUAUAACAUUACCAUUUUAUAAAAAAAGAAAAAAACAUAAAUAUAAUUAUUUGACUAUUUGUCCAAGUUCUUCUAUUAAACAUUGCCGUUUUACAUUAAAAAUAGAAAAAUACAUUAAGAUUUAAACAUAUAUCUUAAAAUAUAAAAUAUAGAUAUUAACAAAAUAUAAAGUAUAAGAAAGAGAAAUACACAAUUUAUAGAAAAAUAAAUAAUAAGUAAAUAUUAUAAAUAUAUAAAUAUACGAAUUAUAUAUACAAUAAUAAGUAAAUGCACAAUUUUAAAAAAAUGGAAAGAGUACAUUAAAUAAAAUGUACAUCUAUCUUAAAAUGGUAGUAAAUUAUAUAAAAAUGAAAAUACCACAUUAAACAAAAAAAUAUAUAUAUAGUUUUACAUCAAAAAAGUCUCUACAAAACUCAUUAUUCCAUCAACAUCAACCUCACACUAUCAAGGAAAACUUCAAAGCACUCGAGCAAAAAAAUGGUUCCACCAUCAACUCUUGCCAUCCCAAAAACCUUUAAUGAACUUGAAGGAGAUUUUUUAUAACAACGAACUUUUUGUUAGGUAGAUUCAUUGUUGGG
rnacentral:lncRNA from 1 species